AAUAGAUACCCAGGUAGUCCACGCCGUAAACGAUGUGUGCUAGACGUCGGAUGUUCCGCAUUCGGUGUCGCCGCUAACGCAUUAAGCACACCGCCUGGGGAGUACGGCCGCAAGGUUAAAACCCAAAGGAAUUGACGGGGGCCCGCACAAGCGGUGGAGCAUGUGGUUUAAUUCGACGCAACGCGCAGAGCCUUACCAGCCCUUGACAUCCCGGUCGCGGGGACCAGAGACGGUCUCCUUCAGUUCGGCUGGACCGGAGACAGGUGCUGCAUGGCUGUCGUCAGCUCGUGUCGUGAGAUGUUGGGUUAAGUCCCGCAACGAGCGCAACCCUCAUCCUUAGUUGCCAUCAUUUGGUUGGGCACUCUAAGGAAACUGCCGGUGACAAGCCGGAGGAAGGCGGGGAUGACGUCAAGUCCUCAUGGCCCUUAUGGGCUGGGCUACACACGUGCUACAAUGGCGGUGACAAUGGGCGGCGAGCCUGCAAAGGUCAGCAAAUCCCCAAAAGCCGUCUCAGUUCGGAUUGUCCU
rnacentral:rRNA from 1 species